rnacentral:misc_RNA from 1 species
UCCGGUUUGUCACCGGCAGUCUCCCUAGAGUGCCCUUGCGUAGCAACUAGGGACAAGGGUUGCGCUCGUUGCGGGACUUAACCCAACAUCUCACGACACGAGCUGACGACAGCCAUGCAGCGCCUGUGUACGCUGGUAUUGCUACCUCGUUAGGCUUUCACCCUUCUACUACGUACAUGUCAAGCCCAGGUAAGGUUCUUCGCGUUGCGUCGAAUUGAACCACAUGUUCCACCGCUUGUGCGGGCCCCCGUCAAUUCCUUUGAGUUUCAGUCUUGCGACCGUACUCCCCAGGCGCAGGACUUAACGCGUUAGCUACGGGACGCACCCCCAACGGGAUGCACCCCAAGUCCUGAUCGUUUAGGGCUAGGACUAC